GAUGAACGCUGGCGGCGUGCCUAAUACAUGCAAGUCGAGCGAACGGACGAGAAGCUUGCUUCUCUGAUGUUAGCGGCGGGCGGGUGAGUAACACGUGGAUAACCUACCUAUAAGUCUGGGAUAACUUCGGGAAACCGUAGCUAAUACCGGAUAAUAUUUUGCACCGCAUGGUUCAAAAGUGAAAGACGGUCUUGCUGUCACUUAUCGAUGGAUACGGGCUGCAUUAGCUAGUUGGUAAGGUAACGGCUUACCAAGGCAACGAGGCAUAGCCGACCUGAGAGGGGGAUCGGCCACACUGGAACUGAGACACGGUCCAGACUCCUACGGGAGGCAGCAGUAGGGAAUCGUCCGCAAAGGGCGAAAGCCUGACGGAGCAACGCCGCGUGAGUGAUGAAGGUCUUCGGAUCGUAAAACUCUGUUAUUAGGUAAGAACAUAUGUGUAAGUAACUGUGCACAUCUUGACGGUACCUAAUCAGAAAGCCACGGCUAACUACGUG
rnacentral:rRNA from 1 species